rnacentral:rRNA from 1 species
AGAGUUUGAUCCUGGCUCAGGAUGAACGCUAGCUACAGGCUUAACACAUGCAAGUCGAGGGGCAGCAUGGUCUUAGCUUGCUAAGGCCGAUGGCGACCGGCGCACGGGUGAGUAACACGUAUCCAACCUGCCGUCUACUCUUGGACAGCCUUCUGAAAGGAAGAUUAAUACAAGAUGGCAUCAUGAGUCCGCAUGUUCACAUGAUUAAAGGUAUUCCGGUAGACGAUGGGGAUGCGUUCCAUUAGAUAGUAGGCGGGGUAACGGCCCACCUAGUCUUCGAUGGAUAGGGGUUCUGAGAGGAAGGUCCCCCACAUUGGAACUGAGACACGGUCCAAACUCCUACGGGAGGCAGCAGUGAGGAAUAUUGGUCAAUGGGCGAGAGCCUGAACCAGCCAAGUAGCGUGAAGGAUGACUGCCCUAUGGGUUGUAAACUUCUUUUAUAAAGGAAUAAAGUCGGGUAUGCAUACCCGUUUGCAUGUACUUUAUGAAUAAGGAUCGGCUAACUCCGUGCCAGCAGCCGCGGUAAUACGGAGGAUCCGAGCGUUAUCCGGAUUUAUUGGGUUUAAAGGGAGCGUAGGCGGAUUGUUAAGUCAGUUGUGAAAGUUUGCGGCUCAACCGUAAAAUUGCAGUUGAUACUGGCUGUCUUGAGUACAGUAGAGGUGGGCGGAAUUCGUGGUGUAGCGGUGAAAUGCUUAGAUAUCACGAAGAACUCCGAUUGCGAAGGCAGCUCACUAGACUGUCACUGACACUGAUGCUCGAAAGUGUGGGUAUCAAACAGGAUUAGAUACCCUGGUAGUCCACACAGUAAACGAUGAAUACUCGCUGUUUGCGAUAUACAGUAAGCGGCCAAGCGAAAGCGUUAAGUAUUCCACCUGGGGAGUACGCCGGCAACGGUGAAACUCAAAGGAAUUGACGGGGGCCC